rnacentral:rRNA from 1 species
CAGCAGCCGCGGGAAUACGUAGGGUGCGAGCGUUAAUCGGAAUUACUGGGCGUAAAGCGUGCGCAGGCGGUUCGUUAAGACAGAUGUGAAAUCCCCGGGCUUAACCUGGGAACUGCAUUUGUGACUGGCGAGCUAGAGUAUGGCAAAGGGGGGUAGAAUUCCACGUGUAGCAGUGAAAUGCGUAGAGAUGUGGAGGAAUACCGAUGGCGAAGGCAGCCCCCUGGGCCAAUACUGACGCUCAUGCACGAAAGCGUGGGGAGCAAACAGGAUUAGAUACCCGCGUAGUCCCUGUCUCUUAUAC